UACGUAGGGUGCGAGCGUUAAUCGGAAUUACUGGGCGUAAAGCGUGCGCAGGCGGUUUUGUAAGGCAGAUGUGAAAUCCCCGGGCUUAACCUGGGAAUGGCAUUUGGGACUGCAAGGCUGGAGUGCGGCAGAGGAGACUGGAAUUCCCGGUGUAGCAGUGAAAUGCGUAGAUAUCGGGAGGAAUACCGAUGGCGAAGGCAGGUCUCUGGGCUGACACUGACGCUCAUGCACGAAAGCGUGGGGAGCAAACAGG
rnacentral:rRNA from 1 species